CAGCAGCCGCGGGAAUACAGAGGGUGCGAGCGUUAAUCGGAUUUACUGGGCGUAAAGCGUGCGUAGGCGGCUUCUUAAGUCGGAUGUGAAAUCCCUGAGCUUAACUUAGGAAUUGCAUUCGAUACUGGGAAGCUAGAGUAUGGGAGAGGAUGGUAGAAUUCCAGGUGUAGCGGUGAAAUGCGUAGAGAUCUGGAGGAAUACCGAUGGCGAAGGCAGCCAUCUGGCCUAAUACUGACGCUGAGGUACGAAAGCAUGGGGAGCAAACAGGAUUAGAUACCCCUGUAGUCCCUGUCUCUUAUAA
rnacentral:rRNA from 1 species